ensembl:lncRNA
GCCUCGCCCCGCCCGGCUCGUCAGCUUCUCCUCCAACCGUGCGGCGCGGGAUGGGAAGGUCAUCCAGAGGACCCAAGACAUGGUGGUUACUAGUAGACUUCCCACAGUAGUUCUUCAUUCCAUGUGGACUCCUUCAAGGGCAGUGAGCAUCACAGCUUCCCUUGAACUUCGUCUGGAAAAACAAAUGCUGUUCAAGGACACUGAAAGAACCCUGAUGUUGAAAAUCAGAUCUGUAUUGUGAGCAAUGCUUAGAAAUCCGUGAGUUGAAGCAUAGUAUUAUGCCUAUCAUCCUUGUAUUUCCCUCAGUGAAAUAUUUUGAGAAAAGCUCUUCAUUCAUGUUGUAGGUUCAUGAAGAAGCUAAAUAGCAUUAAUCCUUUACAUUUACAACUGUGAAUGUAAAUCUCCUGUGAAUCCUAUGUGACAACCGCACAUACCAACAUGAUUUAUUAGUAUUAAUAUUUUUAGUCCUAUUGUAUGUCAACUAAAAAAAUCUGUAUGUAAUUGUACAUGAAGUCAAAAC